GUUCGGUUAAGUCCGGCAACGAAGACGCAACCCACAUUUUUAGUUGCCAGCAUUCAGUUGGGCACUCUAUAAAAACUGCCGGUGAUAAGCCGGAGGAAGGUGUGGAUGACGUCAAGUCCUCAUGGCCCUUACGGGUUGGGCUACACACGUGCUACAAUGGUAGUGACAAUGGGUUAAUCCCAAAAAGCUAUCUCAGUUCGGAUUGGGGUCUGCAACUCGACCCCAUGAAGUCGGAAUCGCUAGUAAUCGCGUAACAGCAUGACGCGGUGAAUACGUUCCCGGGCCUU
rnacentral:rRNA from 1 species